AUUGAACGCUGGCGACAUGCCUUACACAUGCAAGUCGAACGGCAGCACGGGUGCUUGCACCUGGUGGCGAGUGGCGAACGGGUGAGUAAUACAUCGGAACAUGUCCUGUAGUGGGGGAUAGCCCGGCGAAAGCCGGAUUAAUACCGCAUACGAUCUACGGAUGAAAGCGGGGGACCUUCGGGCCUCGCGCUAUCGGGUUGGCCGAUGGCUGAUUAGCUAGUUGGUGGGGUAAAGGCCUACCAAGGCGACGAUCAGUAGCUGGUCUGAGAGGACGACCAGUCACACUGGGACUGAGACACGGCCCAGACUCCUACGGGAGGCAGCAGUGGGGAAUUUUGGACAAUGGGCGAAAGCCUGAUCCAGCAAUGCCGCGUGUGUGAAGAAGGCCUUCGGGUUGUAAAGCACUUUUGUCCGGAAAGAAAUCCUUGGCCCUAAUACGGUCGGGGGAUGACGGUACCGGAAGAAUAAGCACCGGCUAACUACGUG
rnacentral:rRNA from 1 species